rnacentral:tRNA from 1 species
GGUGGGUUGGCUCAGUGGUUAGAACUUAGCUCUCGUAUGCAAAAGGUCGCGGGAUCGAAUCCCGCUAGAAGCU